rnacentral:rRNA from 1 species
CCUACGGGUGGUUGCAGUGAGGAAUAUUGGUCAAUGGGCGCGAGCCUGAACCAGCCAAGUAGCGUGAAGGAUGACUGCCCUACGGGUUGUAAACUUCUUUUAUAAAGGAAUAAAGUGAGGCACGUGUGCCUUUUUGUAUGUACUUUAUGAAUAAGGAUCGGCUAACUCCGUGCCAGCAGCCGCGGUAAUACGGAGGAUCCGAGCGUUAUCCGGAUUUAUUGGGUUUAAAGGGAGCGUAGAUGGGUUGUUAAGUCAGUUGUGAAAGUUUGCGGCUCAACCGUAAAAUUGCAAUUGAUACUGGCAGGCUUGAGUACAGUUGAGGUAGGCGGAAUUCGUGGUGUAGCGGUGAAAUGCUUAGAUAUCACGAAGAACCCCGAUUGCGAAGGCAGCUUACUAAACUGUGACUGACAUUGAUGCUCGAAAGUGUGGGUAUCAAACAGGAUUAGAUACCCUAGUAGUC